GUACUGACGGAGCUGGCACAGAGUUCCCUUGGGACUCCAGAUUUGACUGUCUUGUUGAAAGGCUCCAGAGCCUGCUUUGAAAGUCACUUGACAAGGCACAGAUUUGCCGUGAUUUUUUGACAAGGCACAGCUUUGCCAUGAUUUUUAUACUUGAAUUCCGACUGUAAUGCCAAUGCCAUGUGUUAGCCUUUCUCCAGCAGCUAUUAAAAACAGAAUGAGCGUUAAGAAUCUGAUUACCUUUUAACUAAAUUCAAAACAAAGAUGCGGGGUGAAGCGACUGGAAGCGUCCUGCAAGUCUGACGUGGGUAUCGCUGCCGUGCAUGUUAUCUGCCUGUCUACUGAUCGCUCCUGCCUCUUGUUCUGCCGCGGUAAUUCCUCUGGGUAAGGCGUUGGGCUCUGACUGUAGUGCACCCCGACUCCCUCCUGACCCCUGCGAGACGUUAUCGGUGUUUGCCUUCCUCCCGUUUCACAGGGCCUCGGCUGUUGCGUGCAGAGAAGCUGUCAGCCUUGUGAGAGAGCAUGCAGCCGGCAAGCGCAUCAUGGUGCUUCGGUACUGAGCUGAUACCACAGGCAUCCGUCUUUUGUUUGCGAAAAGGGAUCGCGAGGAAAUGUGCUGACGUUGGAGGGGGAAAGGUGGCGGGGGAACAGAGGUGAUUUCCAGGCGGAGCUGACCAGUGGGGUUCUCUGGCUGAGGGGAAGACCAGCAGUCAGCUGGUGGAUGUGCUUCUGGAAGAAAUAGCAACGGGAGCUCUAAGAGGGGGAAAUGGCUUCACUGCAUGGGAGGAGGAGGGGAGCGCUGAAGCUUUCGUGGCCAAGCCCCGGAGCCAGGAUGUCAGGGAGAAGCAGGAGUAUCUGAGCCAGCUGAAGAACAAGCUGGGAGAUCUACUAGAGGGGAAGGCAGAUGAUCUGAAGACUGCUUUCUGUGCGAUUGAUCCCAGUAUCGACGAUCAGACGCUAGAUACCUACAUUGACCUGCCAGAUCAAGAAGAUGUGCCUGUGGAAACUGCACUCGAGAGGCUGCUUGCUGGAUAUGCGAGACGAGUAGGGCCCUCGCCCAGGGAAGGAAGCACGACAGGCUUUGGAGGGGAGGAAGGAGACUUCCAAUAAUAAGAAUAAAUGGACUGUUUGAUCUACA